UACUUGUAUACUUUGGAUUUCCC
rnacentral:piRNA from 1 species